UGCAGUCGAGCGGACAGAUGGGAGCUUGCUCCCUGAUGUUAGCGGCGGACGGGUGAGUAACACGGUGGGUAACCUGCCUGUAAGACUGGGAUAACUCCGGGAAACCGGGGCUAAUACCGGAUGGUUGUUUGAACCGCAUGGUUCAGACAUAAAAAGGUGGCUUCGGCUACCACUUACAGAUGGACCCGCGGCGCAUUAGCUAGUUGGUGAGGUAACGGCUCACCAAGGCAACGAUGCGUAAGCCGACCUGAGAGGGUGAUCGGCCACACUGGGACUGAGACACGGCCCAGACUCCUACGGGAGGCAGCAGUAGGGAAUCUUCCGCAAUUGGACGAAAGUCUGACGGAGCAACGCCGCGUGAGUGAUGAAGGUUUUCGGAUCGUAAAGCUCUGUUGUUAGGGAAGAACAAGUGCCGUUCAAAUAGGGCGGCACCUUGACGGUACCUAACCAGAAAGCCACGGCUAACUACGUGCCAGCAGCCGCGGUAAUACGUAGGUGGCAAAGCGUUGUCCGGAAUUAUUGGGCGUAAAGGGCUCGCAGGCGGUUUCUUAAGUCUGAUGUGAAAGCCCCCGGCUCAACCGGGGAGGGUUCAUUGGAAACUGGGGAACUUGAGUGCAGAAGAGGAGAGUGGAAUUCCACGUGUAGCGGUGAAAUGCGUAGAGAUGUGGAGGAACACCCAGUGGCGAAGGCGACUCUCUGGUCUGUAACUGACGCUGAGGAGCGAAAGCGUGGGGAGC
rnacentral:rRNA from 1 species